CCUACGGGAGGCAGCAGUGAGGAAUAUUGGUCAAUGGGCGAGAGCCUGAACCAGCCAAGUCGCGUGAAGGAUGAAUGAUCUAUGGUUUGUAAACUUCUUUUAUAUGGGAAUCAAAUGAGGAACGUGUUCCUUUUUGUAUGUACCAUAUGAAUAAGCAUCGGCUAACUCCGUGCCAGCAGCCGCGGUAAUACGGAGGAUUCGAGCGUUAUCCGGAUUUAUUGGGUGUAAAGGGUGCGUAGGUGGUUAAUUAAGUCAGCGGUGAAAGGUUUGGGCUCAACCAUAAAAUUGCCGUUGAAACUGGUUGACUUGAGUAUAUUUGAGGUAGGCGGAAUGCGUGGUGUAGCGGUGAAAUGCAUAGAUAUAACGCAGAACUCCGAUUGCGAAGGAAGCUUACUAAACUAUAACUGACACUGAAGCACGAAAGCGUGGGGAUCAAACAGGAUUAGAUACCCGUGUAGUC
rnacentral:rRNA from 1 species